AGCAGCCGCGGUAAUUCCAGCUCCAAUAGCGUAUAUUAAAGUUGUUGCAGUUAAAAAGCUCGUAGUUGAAUUUCGGAAUCUGUCCGUCGGUCGGGCUUAACUGUCCGUACUGAUGUGAUGGGUUCUUACCUUCUGAAUAACCAGCAUGUCAUUAAUUUGGUGUGUUGGGGAAGCAGGACUAUUACCUUGAAAAAAUUAGAGUGCUCAAAGCAGGCUAGUGCCUGAAUACAUUAGCAUGGAAUAAUAAAAUAGGACGGCAUGGUUCUAUUUUGUUGGUUUCUAGGAUCACCGUAAUGAUUAAUAGGGAUAGUUGGGGGCAUUAGUAUUCAAUUGUCAGAGGUGAAAUUCUUGGAUUUAUUGAAGACUAACUUCUGCGAAAGCAUUUGCCAAGGAUGUUUUCAUUAAUCAAGGACGAAAGUUAGGGGAUCGAAGACGAUCAGAUACCGUCGUAGUCUUAACCAUAAACUAUGCCGACUAGGGAUCGGACGAUGUUAAUUUAUAAUGACUCGUUCGGCGUACC
rnacentral:rRNA from 1 species